AGAACGAACGCUGGCGGCAUGCCUAAUACAUGCAAGUCGAACGAACUCUUCGGAGUUAGUGGCGCACGGGUGCGUAACGCGUGGGAAUCUGCCCUUGGGUUCGGAAUAACAGUUGGAAACGACUGCUAAUACCGGAUGAUGACGAAAGUCCAAAGGUUUAUCGCCCAGGGAUGAGCCCGCGUAGGAUUAGCUAGUUGGUGAGGUAAAGGCUCACCAAGGCGACGAUCCUUAGCUGGUCUGAGAGGAUGAUCAGCCACACUGGGACUGAGACACGGCCCAGACUCCUACGGGAGGCAGCAGUAGGGAAUAUUGGACAAUGGGCGAAAGCCUGAUCCAGCAAUGCCGCGUGAGUGAUGAAGGCCUUAGGUUGUAAAGCUCUUUACCCGAGAUGAUAAUGACAGUAUCGGGAAGAAUAAGCCCCGGACUAACCUCCGCGCCAGCAGCCGC
rnacentral:rRNA from 1 species